rnacentral:rRNA from 1 species
AUGAACGCUGGCGGCGUGCUUAACACAUGCAAGUCGAACGGAAAGGCCCAAGCUUGCUUGGGUACUCGAGUGGCGAACGGGUGAGUAACACGUGGGUGAUCUGCCCUGCACUUCGGGAUAAGCCUGGGAAACUGGGUCUAAUACCGGAUAGGACCACAUUUUGGAUGGUGUGGUGGAAAGUUUUUCGGUGUGGGAUGAGCUCGCGGCCUAUCAGCUUGUUGGUGGGGUAAUGGCCUACCAAGGCGUCGACGGGUAGCCGGCCUGAGAGGGUGUACGGCCACAUUGGGACUGAGAUACGGCCCAGACUCCUACGGGAGGCAGCAGUGGGGAAUAUUGCACAAUGGGCGCAAGCCUGAUGCAGCGACGCCGCGUGGGGGAUGACGGCCUUCGGGUUGUAAACUCCUUUCGCUAGGGACGAAGCGUUAUGUGACGGUACCUGGAGAAGAAGCACCGGCUAACUACGU